rnacentral:rRNA from 1 species
AUGAAGCUUCUUCCGGCCACCCUCGGCCUCGUCUUAGUCCUCCUCCUCGUUCUGAAUCCCAAUGGUGUCGAGGCCCGGCCUGCGCCUACCGAUGGCCAUCAGAAAAAGCCGUCGAGCAACACCUUCUUCGUCUUCGGGGAUGACUUCGCCGACAACGGGAACCUCCCUCCGACCAACCCUGUUACCGAGAUGUCGCGGCAGUGGGCCUACCCCUACGGCUCCGGCUACGUCGACGCCGAUGGGUUUCCGCGGCCGAAUACUCCGUCCGGCCGCUUCUCAAACUACAAGAUCCAAUCAGAUUUCAUCGCAACAAUGUUAGGCUUGGAGGAAGCCCCUCCGGCGCAUGCCCACACGGCAGAGAAAACCUGCGACCCCUCGGGCAUGACCUUUGCUUAUGGUGGCUCUGGGGUGUUUGAUAGUACGUCAAACGAUGUCCCCACCCUCGCCAAGCAGGUGGAGACUUUCAAGAAGAUGGUCAAGGACAUGACCAUCACAAAGAAGCAAUUGAGUGGCUCCGUAGCGCUCGUGGCCUUCUCCGGCAAUGAUUAUGCAAGCACCGGCGUCAUCGGCCUAACUAACCCCAAGGAUAUCAAUGCUUAUAUUGGGAAGGUGACCAAGGAGAUUGUGGCCAAUGUGGAGCAGUUGCAGAAGAUUGGGGUGAAAAAAGUUCUCGUGAACAACUUGCACCCCAUCGGUUGCACGCCAUCACAAACUCGAACCAACAACUACACCGCAUGCGAUAUCUUUGGGAAUUUGGGCGCAUCGAUCCAUAACAGUAACUUGCAACAAGUGAUGGAGGCAAAGAAAAAUGUCCACAUUAUUGAUCUAUACACCGCGUUCACAAAUAUUGUGGAUCAUGUGCCGGGUAAAGGCUCAGAGCUAUCCAAACAGUUCAAGCGCAAGAUGUCGCCGUGUUGCGAGAGCUUGAAUUCAAAGGGUUACUGUGGAGAACAGGGCGAGUCAUCGGAGCUUCUUUACAAUGUGUGUGAUAAGUCCAACAAUUUUUUCUACUGGGACGACAUGCACCCGACGCAUGCCGGGUGGGAGGCGGUCAUGAAGCAGUUGGAAAGGCCUCUGAGAGAGUUUAUAGAUCAAGACUAG